rnacentral:rRNA from 1 species
AAAUUGAAGAGUUUGAUCAUGGCUCAGAUUGAACGCUGGCGGCAGGCCUAACACAUGCAAGUCGAACGGUAACAGGAAACAGCUUGCUGUUUCGCUGACGAGUGGCGGACGGGUGAGUAAUGUCUGGGAAACUGCCUGAUGGAGGGGGAUAACUACUGGAAACGGUAGCUAAUACCGCAUAACGUCGCAAGACCAAAGAGGGGGACCUUCGGGCCUCUUGCCAUCGGAUGUGCCCAGAUGGGAUUAGCUAGUAGGUGGGGUAACGGCUCACCUAGGCGACGAUCCCUAGCUGGUCUGAGAGGAUGACCAGCCACACUGGAACUGAGACACGGUCCAGACUCCUACGGGAGGCAGCAG